GACAAUGGGCGGGAGCCUGAUCCAGCCAUGCCGCGUGCAGGAAGACUGCCCUAUGGGUUGUAAACUGCUUUUAUAUAGGAAGAAAAACUUUCUCGUGAGAAAGCUUGACGGUACUAUAAGAAUAAGGAUCGGCUAACUCCGUGCCAGCAGCCGCGGUAAUACGGAGGAUCCAAGCGUUAUCCGGAAUCAUUGGGUUUAAAGGGUCCGUAGGUGGACAAAUAAGUCAGAGGUGAAAUCCUGCAGCUCAACUGUAGAACUGCCUUUGAUACUGUUUGUCUUGAGUUAUUAUGAAGUGGUUAGAAUGUGUAGUGUAGCGGUGAAAUGCAUAGAUAUUACACAGAAUACCGAUUGCGAAGGCAGAUCACUAAUAAUUAACUGACACUGAUGGACGAAAGCGUGGGUAGCGAACAGGAUUAGAUACCCUGGUAGUCCACGCCGUAAACGAUGGUCACUAGCUGUUUGGACUUCGGUCUGAGUGGCUAAGCGAAAGUGAUAAGUGACCCACCUGGGGAGUACGUUCGCAAGAAUGAAACUCAAAGGAAUUGACGGGGGCCCGCACAAGCGGUGGAGCAUGUGGUUUAAUUCGAUGAUACGCGAGGAACCUUACC
rnacentral:rRNA from 1 species